rnacentral:rRNA from 1 species
GCGGUAAUACGUAGGUGGCAAGCGUUGUCCGGAAUUAUUGGGCGUAAAGCGCGCGCAGGCGGAUCAGUUAGUCUGUCUUAAAAGUUCGGGGCUUAACCCCGUGAUGGGAUGGAAACUGCUGAUCUAGAGUAUCGGAGAGGAAAGUGGAAUUCCUAGUGUAGCGGUGAAAUGCGUAGAUAUUAGGAAGAACACCAGUGGCGAAGGCGACUUUCUGGACGAAAACUGACGCUGAGAAGCGAAAGCAUGGGGAGCGAACAGGAUUAGAUACCCUGGUAGUCCAUGCCGUAAACGUUGGGCACUAGGUGUGGGGGACAUUCCACGUUUUCCGCGCCGUAGCUAACGCAUUAAGUGCCCCGCCUGGGGAGUACGGCCGCAAGGCUAAAACUCAAAGAAAUUGACGGGGGCCCGCACAAGCGGCGGAGCAUGCGGAUUAAUUCGAUGCAACGCGAAGAACCUUACCAAGGCUUGACAU